AGAGAAGUUUUGUAAUCACGAAGUCAAUGUAAGUGAUAAAGAUGGGAAUGUCCUGUGGUGUAUUGAUUUGAAUGAAAUACUCUGCAUGUGUAAGUGUCGACACUACCAUAAACUAGCUUGGUUUAGACUGGGUAACUCUAAUUCUAGCUGUGCUACACAUAGAGGUCCGGUAGUAAUCAUCCCUUAUUGAUCCAGUGGAGAAAGCCAGAAUACCUGGAGAAAACCGGCGGUGUUUGGUCGAGUCCGCUCUGUAUAUAACUAGUCACAAUUACUCUUAAUUAAAGGAUGAAGAAAUUUUUUAUUUAAGGAUGAGGUCCUGAGCCUGUUGGACAACCUGUUAAUAUGAGCAAGCCAAAGUUGAAGAUUUGAUACGAGCUUUAGAACAUGCAUGAUGUUACAAUAAAACGCGCAUAUAAGAACCUAGAUUUUCCAAGUUAGCCUAAACAGGUUCUUGUGUAAAUGGUGCUUACCAGGAAAUUAGGCUAAACAGAUUCUUAAAUAGGUUGUUAUUUUAUAAAUGUAUAAAACAGCUGGUUCUGAUAAUAAUAGCCAUGAAUGUAAUAAAAAAAUCAUUUGAAUUUAUAGCUCAACCUCUUACCCAAAUUAUCAAUCUUUCGCUUUCAAUUGGCAUUCACCCUGAUUUACUAAAAAUAGCCAAGGUAAUGCCUGUAUUUAAAACCGAU